UACAGAGGUCUCAAGCGUUGUUCGGAUUCAUUGGGCGUAAAGGGUGCGUAGGCGGCGUGGUAAGUCGGGUGUGAAAUCUCAGGGCUCAACCCUGAAACUGCACUCGAUACUGCUCUGCUUGAGGACUGGAGAGGAGAUUGGAAUUCACGGUGUAGCAGUGAAAUGCGUAGAUAUCGUGAGGAAGACCAGUGGCGAAGGCGGAUCUCUGGACAGUUCCUGACGCUGAGGCGCGAAGGCCAGGGGAGCAAACGGG
rnacentral:rRNA from 1 species